UCUGUGUAGAAUCCAUGCAGCAUCACAUUUGGGAAGAGUCAAAUCAUCUUUACUGUAUUAAAACUCUUCUUGAAUCUUUCUCCAUGAAAGCAGUUCUAAUUAGCAAAACUUGUUGAAUCUCAAUCUACUGUCACCCAGUGUCAGCAUCUGGUCAUCAUGCCCAAGUUUACGAAGAAAGAGAAACAAAGGCACUACAUAGAAAAGAUGAAGAGGAUGGGGAAGUAUGAAGAAUACUUGAAGAAAAAAGCAGCAGCCAUGAAGAGGUGCCGGGAGAAGCAAAAGCUGAGAGAGAGGACCUUGCCAAAAUAUGCGAGAAAACAACUGGAAAGGGAGACGAAAGAAGCAACAAAGAAACGAGUAGCAAAGCACAGGAAAUUGAAGAAAGAAAGAAA